GGCUCAUUAACACGUGGUUAACAUACCCUCAGGUGGGGGAUAACCUUGGGAAACUGAGGAUAAUACCCCAUAGAAAAAGCAGUCUGGAACGAUUCUUUUUCGAAAGCAUAUGCGCCUGAGGAUUGGACUGCGCUCGAUUAGGUAGUUGGUGGGGUAAUGGCCCACCAAGCCUACGAUCGGUACGGGCCUUGAGAGAGGAAGCCCGGAGAUGGGGACUGAGACACGGCCCCAGGCCCUACGGGGCGCAGCAGGCGCGAAACCUCCGCAAUGCACGAAAGUGCGACGGGGGGAUCCCAAGUGCUCAUGCACAGCAUGGGCUUUUAUCAAGUGUAAACAGCUUGAGGAAUAAGGGCUGGGCAAGUUCGGUGCCAGCAGCCGCGGUAACACCGACGGUCCGAGUGGUGGCCACUUUUAUUGGGCCUAAAGCGUCCGUAGCCGGUCCAGUAAGUCCUUGUUUAAAUCCUGCGGCUUAACCGCAGGACUGGCAGGGAUACUGCUGGACUUGGGACCGGGAGAGGACAAGGGUACUUCAGGGGUAGCGGUGAAAUGUGUUGAUCCUUGAAGGACCACCUAUGGCGAAGGCACUUGUCUGGAACGGGU
rnacentral:rRNA from 1 species